GCAAAGUAACUCCACUAGACAUGCAUUAUGAUAUAGAAUUGUGUCCUAUGUAUCAGAUCAUUUAAAUGUAAUUCAAAUGAUAUCUUUAUUUAGAAUUAACCAAACUUAGUUGUCCUUGUCUUGUUUUUCUUGUCAUCUUUUAGAAGAAAAAGAGCCACGCUGCUUUACAGAGACCUGACUAGAGGUGUAAUGAAAAAGAGCCACGUUGGUAUACAGAGACCUGACUAGAGGUGUAAUGAAAAAGAACCACGCUGCUUUACAGAGACCUGACUAGAGGUGUAAUGAAAAAGAGCCACGCUGCUUUACAGAGACCCGACUAGAGGUGUGAUGAAAAAGAGCCACGCUGCUUUACAGAGACCUGACUAGAGGUGUAAUGAAAAAGAGAUACGCUGCUUUACAGAGACCUGACUAGAGGUGUGAUGAAAAAGAGACACGUUGGUAUACAGAGACCUGACUAGAGGUGUGAUGAAAAAGAGACACGUUGGUAUACAGAGACCUGACUAGAGGUGUAAUGAAAAAGAGACACGUUGGUAUACAGAGACCUGACUAGAGGUGUGAUGAAAAAGAGACACGUUGGUAUACAGAGACUUGACUAGAAGCGUGGUAGCACAUAUACCCCUGCCAUCAACUUGGAUAGAAGAGAAAGUUUCUCUGUUCAGUUCUGUUAAACUUAAUUUAACCAGGAUAGUCCACUCAGUAACAAUUGUCACUGCUAUCUAGAGAGUACUGGGAGAACAGAGCCGGUUCCUUCUGCAGCGGAAGUUGUGCCCAGCUGCAGUGACGCGCCUCCUCCACCUUAACCAGCAUAAAAAAAGGAAGGCAGCGGAUGUUGAGGCCUGGAAGGGCUUGUGGGAGCCACUCCACAUGCCUGCAUUGGAACUUGAAUGUCCUCCACCCAAUGCCAUCUGCAAUGUGUGUGGAUAUUUGGAGGAGGUUGAGCUAUGGCGCUGUGGGGAUUGUGGCUCAGAUAAAUAUUUCUGUGCCACCUGUGCUGUGAGAACUCACAACACAUUCUCCACCAGUUGGAGUUAUGGAAGUAAGGGCAGUUCAUCCCAUGUGUCCUGGUGGGCCUACGAUGGGAGUGGACGAGACAAGAUGGCCAUGACUGUCACAGCCAGUACAACCGUCUUGUGACUGUUGUUGAAGUUAGAGGAAGAGCUCAUGACGUCUGGCUGCAGUUUGCAGCUGUGAGCUGGAACCUGUCACCCUGAUCCGCUACAGACUCUGGCCUGCCACCCACCAAUCAGCCGCAAGCAGUAAUUUCAGUGGAACUCCUGCAGCUGGAGUGUGGGGUGUCUUUGAGGGGGAUUAGCUUGACUUUCCAUAAAUCCAAUGCAUACUGGGGUGCCCAGAAUUUCAACCCAGGGAUGCGCUGCGAUCCAAAACCUGGACGUAACUGGUGUGUAAGGAAUGGCAGAAAUUCCUGAACCUGAAGACAGGAUAGAAGCUUGCAAAUGCUGUGUUCCUGCUGGGGACCGAGAAGCAAUGCAGGGACCAAACAUCACAACGCUUCUUCACUAUGACAUUGCUUUCCAGCUGAAGCCUCUUUUACAGAAAAACAGUCCCGAUCUGAUGGUGGACCCCACAUUUGCAGUGCCAGCCUUUCAUGCCUAUGCUCGUAAUGCUGACUGUCAGGUCACUGAUGGUACCAGGUACUGUAUGUACAGUGCAUUCGGAAAGUGUUAGGACCCCUUGACCUUUCCACAUUUUGUUACGUUACAGCCUUAUUUUAAAAUGGAUGAAAUGCAUUCUUUUUCUCAUCAAUCUACACAGAAUACCCCAUAAUGACAAAGCGAUAACAAGAUUUUAUUAGUUUUUGCAAAAGUCUUAUAAAAUAAAAACAGAUACCUUUUUUACAUAAGUAUUCAGACCCAUUGCUAUAAGACUAAAUUUAGCUCAGGUGCAUCCUGUUUCGAUUGUUUCCAUUUCUACAAUUUGAUAGUAUUCCACCUGGUGGUGGAUUCAAUUGAUUGGACAUGAUUUGGAAAGGCACACACCUGUCUAUGUAAUGUCCCACAGUUGACAUUGCAUGUCAGAGCAUGUCAAAAACCAAACCAUGAGGUAGAAGGAAUUGUCCAUAGAGCUCCGACACUUUGUGUCGAGAUUGUGUCGAUGCACAGAUCUGGGGCAGGGUACCAAAACAUUUCUGCAGCAUUGAAGGUCCCUAACAACACAGUGGCCUCCAUAAUUCUUAAAUGGAAGUUUGGGACCACCAAGACUCUUCCUAGAGUAGGCCGCCCGGCCAAACUGAGCAAUCGGGCGAGAAGGGCCUUGGUCAGGGAGGUGGCUAAGAAGCCGAUGGUCACUCUGACAGAACUUCAGAGUUCCUCUGUGGAGAUGGUAGAACCUUCCAGAAGGACAACCAUCUCUGCAGCACUCCACCAAUCAGGCCUUUAUGGUAGAGUGACCAGAUGGAAGCCACUCCUCAGUAAAAGGCACAUAACAGCCCGCUUGGAGUUUACCAAAGGCACCUAAAGACUCUCAAACCAUGAAACAAGAUUCUCUGGUCUGAUGAAACCAAGAUUGAACUCUUUGACCUGAAUGCCAAGCGUCACGUCUGGAGGAAACGUGGCACCAUCCCUAUGGUGAAGCAUGGUGGUGGCAGCAUUAUGACGUGUGGAUGUUCCUCAGCGGCAUGGACUGGGAGACUAAUCAGGAUCGAGGCAAAGAUGAACAAAGCAAAAUACAGAGAUAUCCUUGAUGAAAACCCGCUCCAGAGCGCUUAGGACCUCAGACUGGGGUGAAGGUUCACCUUCCAACAGGACAAUGACCCUAAACACACAGCCAUGACAAUGUAGGAGUUGCUUCAAGACAAGUCUCAAUGUCCUUGAUUGGCCCAGCUACAGCGUGGACUUGAACCCAAUCGAACAUCUCUGGAGAGACCUGAAAAUAACUGUGCAGCAAUGCUCCCCACCCAACCUGAGAAAGCCUGAGAGGAUCUUAGAAGAAUGGGAUAAACUCCCCAAAUACAGAUUUGCCAAGCUUGUAGCAUCAUACCCAAAAAUACUUGAGGUUGUAAUUGCUGCCAAAGGUGCUUCAACAAAGUACGGUGUAAAGGGUCUGAAUACUUAUAUAAAUGUGAUAUUUCCGUUUAUAAUUUUUAAAAGAUUAGCUCACGUUUCUAAAAACCUGUUUUUGCUUUGUCAUUAUGGGGUAUAGUGUGUCGAUUAAUGAGGGAAUAAAAAAAUAAAAACAUUUUAGAAUAAGGCAGUAACCUAACAACAUGUGGAAAAAGUCAAUGGGUGUGAAUACUUUCCGAAGGCACUGUAUAUUAUUACAGUAGCAACCUCCAGCCUCAGCCCAACCCUCAGCUCCAGCCUCAACCCAACCCUCAGCUCCAUGGUCAGCCCAACAUCCAGCUCCAGCGUCAGCCCAACAGCCAGCUCCAGCGUCAGCCCAACAGCCAGCUCCAGUCACAGCCCAACAGCCAGCUCCAGUCACAGCCCAACAGCCAGCUCCAUCCAUUACCUUAGCUCCUCUCCUAGCCCAACCUCCAGCCCCAACAACGGCUCAAUCUCCAGUUAAAGGCCAAGGUGCAGCACAAACUAUAGGCCACAAUCCAGCUCUAGCAACAGGCCCAGCUUCAUCUCCAGGCCCAUCUCCAGCUCUAGGACCAGCAUCACCUACAGCUGCAAAAAUAUAUUCUAAAAUCAAACAAUUGAUCCAUAUUUUCAUAAUCUGCAAACACAUUUACGUAAAAAAAAAACAAGUGAUGGACGGCCAAGAUAUGUAUAGCUAAUCCCACAAUGGGUAUCUGUUCAAAGGGAAUAUACUGAUUGUCUAAAGUAAUGGGUCAAGUCACUGCCUGUACUGUACAUGUAAAUGUUGUUCAUCUCAAUGACCAAGACAUUACAAUUCUGCAUUGAAACAUUGUAGAGAGCAUUGCAUCUUACUUAUUGUGAAUUUGAUGCCAAGACCUGCCUCUAAAAUUAAAAUAGUUGGUCUACGCCAUAUUUGGAGGGCUUUUCUAACUCUUACCAACUUGGCAUGCCCUCUACUUCAAUGACCACUUUCUUGGCAGCCACAGCCGUAUAUGGAAUAACACAUAUGGAAUCAUGUAGUAACCAAAAAAGUGUUAAACAAAUAAAAAUAUAUAUUUGAGAUUCUUCAAAGUAGCCACCCUUGGUGAUUGAAAAUAGUGUGCAAAGCUUUCUUUCAAACAGCUUCAUGAGAUAAUCACCUGGAACACAUUUCAAUUAACAGGUGUGCCUUGUUAAAAGUUAAUUUGUGGAAUUUCUGUGUUGUGACAAGGUAGGUUUGGUAUACAGAAGAUAGCCCUAUUUGGCAGUAGACCAAGUCCAUAUUAUGGCAAGAACAGUUCAAAUAAGCAAAGAGAAACGACAGUCCAUUAUUACUUUAAGACAUGAAGGUCAGUCAAUCCGGAACAUUUCAAGAACUGUGAAAGUUUCUUCAAGUGCAGUUGCAAAAACCAUCAAGCGCUAUGAUGAAACUGUCUCUCAUGAGGACUGCCACAGGAAAGGAAGACCCAGAGUUACCUCUACUGCAGAGGAUAAGUUCAUUAGAGUUACCAGUCUCAGAAAUUGCAGCCCAAAUAAAUGCUUCACAGAGUUCAAGUAAGACACAUCUCAACAUCAUCUGUUCAGAGGAGACUGUGUGAAUCAGGCCUUCAAGGUCGAUUUGUUGUAAAGAAACCCCCACUAAAGGACACAAAUAAUAAGAAGAGACUUGCUUGGGCCAAGAGACACGAGCAAUGGGACAAUGGACUGGUGGAAAUCUGCCCAAAUAUAUUUUAACACUUCUUUGGUUACUACAUGAUUCCAUAUGUGUUAUUUCAUAUUGUUGAUGUCGUCACUAUUAUUCUACAAUGUAGAAAAUUGUAAAAAUAAGGAAAAAGCCUUUAAUGAGUAGGUGUGUCCAAACUUUUGACUUGUACUUUGUUUUUAUAAAUCUGUCAGCCCUUACAUCCAGAACUCUGUCUGAAUUUUAGUGCUUCAUUUGUUUAAAAGCAGCGCAGGACUGUUGAAUUGUUUAUCAGAUUUUAAUAGAUAUGUCAAAUAAAAUUAUA